rnacentral:rRNA from 1 species
GCUGACGAGUGGCGGACGGGUGAGUAAUGUCUGGGAAACUGCCUGAUGGAGGGGGAUAACUACUGGAAACGGUAGCUAAUACCGCAUAAUGUCGCAAGACCAAAGAGGGGGACCUUCGGGCCUCUUGCCAUCGGAUGUGCCCAGAUGGGAUUAGCUAGUAGGUGGGGUAAAGGCUCACCUAGGCGACGAUCCCUAGCUGGUCUGAGAGGAUGACCAG